CAGGAUUGCUCAGUAUAAAUCUGUUAAACUGUUUUAGCAUGUUUGAUGCUAACCUGGAUCCUGUUAUGCAUCUCCGCUUGAUUUUCUUGAAACGGACAUCGUAUUUCUGAAUUUCCCCUCUGACCAAACAACGUGUCUCAAUAUUUUUGGGUUUUCUGGCACCUUUUCUAUUUGCACCAAAAUAUCCUUUACUGCGCGUCUUGAAUUAUUUUUCACUGUUUCAGUGUCGGUUUUGAAUUUUUCCAAUAUAUAAAAAAAGUGUACCCUUUUUUCCUAACAAUUAUUUUCCACUAGUGUUAGAUUUUCUGUAACAGGUAAGCACGUUUCCUUUUUUUCUUGUAAUAUUAC